rnacentral:rRNA from 1 species
CAGUCGCCGCGGUAAUACGAAGGGUGCAAGCGUUAAUCGGAAUUACUGGGCGUAAAGCGUGUGUAGGUGGUUGUUUAAGUCUGUCGUGAAAGCCCUGGGCUCAACCUGGGAAUUGCGAUGGAUACUGGGCGACUAGAGUGCGGUAGAGGAUAGUGGAAUUUCCGGUGUAGCAGUGAAAUGCGUAGAGGUCGGAAGGAACAUCUGUGGCGAAGGCGACUAUCUGGGCCAACGCUGACACUGAGGCACAAAAGCGUGGGGAGCAAACAGGAUUAGAUACCCGAGUAGUCCCUGUCUCUUAUAC